GGGAGUACAAGAAUAAUUCAAAGAAAUUAUUACAACAAUGACAAUGAUAAUAAGAGUACGUAUUAAAACUAAGAUCAAUAAGAGAGUGAGGUAUAACUCAAUUAGUUCUUCUUAGUUUCAGGAGAUCCUGAAAGUGAUUCUUAGCCUAAAGUUUUAAACACAAAAAAAAAAAAAAAAAAGUUAAUAAAAGUCAAACAAUUAUUAUAAUCCAUGAAAAAAAUAGCCUUAAUAAAUAUAGUGAGUUUUUCGUCAAAAAAUAAAUAAAUAUAUAUACAGAGUUGAAUUUAAUCCAAUGAAUCACCCGAAUUGACUCGACUAGAAGUUGACCCGGAAUUGGACCCGAAAAUUGACCUGACCCGAACUGACCCGACCCAAACUUGACCCAAACCCGAACUCGACCCAAACUAUUGACCCAAUACCCGACCUGACCCGAUUAUCAGUCAACCCGAAAUCAACCCGAAACCCGAAAUGACCCGACCCGACCCGAACUUGACCCGACCCGAAAUGACCCGACCUGAAUGACCCAUUUGCCAGAUCUACUCACACCCCUCCCUACUGUUGAAUCUGCUUGUUCCAUGCUGCAACAAGAAGAGAGUCAAAAAGAAAUCCUGCUCAUAGGCAAGAAUGAGCCUGAAUGAGCCUGCUCAUAGGCAAGAAUGAGCCUGACUCAUAAGCAAGAAUAAGCCUGAUUCUCAGCAAUGUACAGCAGAAAUUCUGCUACUUAUCCUACUCCUGGUUCUGCUAAUAGACUUCCUCUUUGUAGUACUUGUGGGAGGAAAGGGCAUAGUUCAGAUAGGUUUUGGUUAUUAGUUGGGUAUCCAACUUGGCAUCAUAAAUACAAACCAAGCACGGCAAAGCCAAUUCCCAGACAGAAUGAACAGAAAUGGACUAGGCAAGGUCCUAAGUUAGCAGUUGUUGCUUAGAGUGCAGGCACUAGUAGUUCUGGUUCUAUAACCCUAACUCAAGCACAAUUUGAAAAAUUGCUUCAGAAUAUUCCCUCAGCAAAUGCUGCAUCCCAGCAUAGGGGGGAUGACACUGAUGAAGAGCUAGAGAACUUCUCUGGUAUGGUGUCCUGCUGUAAUGCAAUCAAAGUGUCAAAUGACUGGAUAAUUGAUUCAGGUGCAUCUGACCACAUGACUUCUAACCUUCAAAAUCUCAGUGAAUUUCAACCUGUUCUCUCUUAGCUCAAGAUAAAUUUUCCAACUGGUGAAACUUCAAGAAUAUCACACAUAGGAUCUAUGGAACUUCCUAACUCUCUGACCCUUAGGAAUGUGUUAUGUGUUCCUAACUUCAAGCAUAACUUGUUGUCUGUAAACAAGUUGAUCAAAGAUUCUCAGUGUGAAGUGGUCAUCUAUGGAACACAUUGUGUAAUAAGAGAUAUAAAAUCAAAGAAGAUCAAGGGGCUGGGAAAGGUGAAAAAUGGCCUUUACUACUUGAUUAAUGGCUCUACUGAUCAAAGUUCCAAUAUUCUUCAACUGACAGGCAACAAUGAGAAUGAUGGUGAUGAACAUCUAGACUUAGCAAUCUCAUCAAAGACUGAGAGUGUUCCUUUUGCUGUGUGGCAUCACAGACUAGGACAUGCUUCACUCAGCAAACUGAAGCAUAUUGAAUGUGUUAAGAAGACAAUAACAUAAAAUAGCCAAGUUUGUGUGACCUGUCCCCUGGCUAAAUUCACUAAGCAGCCUUAUCAGUUGAGUACAUCUUAUGCUAAGGAACCAUUUGAAGUGGUUCAUAUGGACAUUUGGGGCCCACAAAGUAUGUACUAGAAGAAAAUACAGAUAUUUUCUCACUUUGGUGGAUGACUAUUCAAGAAUGACAUGGGUGUAUUUAUUGGAGCAAAAAUCUGAUUCUCUGGCACAAUUCAAGUCUUUCUAUAAUUAUGCUCUCACUCAGUUUGAGAAGAAAAUCAAAGUUCUUAGGUCAGACAAUGCCCUUGAAUUUGAUGAUGGGCCAUGCCAAGAGUUUUUUGCCCAAAUGGGAAUUGUGCAUCAAACUUCCUGUGUUGACAGGCCACAACAGAAUGCAAGGGUGGAAAGAAAGCACAGACAUAUACUUGAGAUUGCAAGAGCCAUCAUAUUUCAAGCUAGUUUGGAGCUAUCUUAUUGGGGAGAAUGUGUCAUGACUGUUGUACACAUCAUAAAUAGAUUGCCUACCACAGUUUUAAAUAACAAAACACCAUUUGAAAUGUUAUUUAACUCUGUUCCUGAGUAUGAUCACUUGAAAGUAUUUGGGUGUUUAGUUUUUGCUUACACACACUCAGUUCAGAAAGAUAAACUUCAACCCAGAGGUUUGCCAUGUGUAUUCUUGGGAUAUCCAGCUACUCAAAAAGGGUACAGACUCCUUGAUUUGUCAAAUAAGAAGAUCUUUGUGUCUAGAGAUGUUGUGUUUCAUGAAACCAUCUUUCCUUUCCAACUUUCCUCUCUUGAUCAGCUCAUGAAACCCCUACCAGUACCCUUUCCUAACUAGAAUCAUUACCCUAUCUUUUUUUAUGACUGUCCUGUUCCCUUGGGUGCACAAAAUGACAUUCAUGAAAAUCAGACUUUGUCUGAUGAUGACAAUGAUACUGAUGCACAAAAUCAAUCCCCAAACACAAGCUCAAACACAAACCAAAACACUUAUCCCCCACCACCUCCACCACCACCUCCCAGACAAAGCCAUAGACCAUCAAAACAGCCUUACUGGAUGAGAGACUAUGUUCAGCCAAAAAAUAAAAACAAAAAUCAGCAAAUAGCCAAUUUUGCAAACCAGCAGGUUUUCCCUGAAUUCUACUGUUUUCUUUCUACUCUUGAAAGCACCACUGAUCCAGUCCACUACAAACAUGUUGUGCAAUCUGAUCAAUGGGUUGCAGCUAUGAACCUAGAGCUUUCUCAGUGUAAACUUAAUGGUACUUGGGAGGUCACAACUCUGCCACCUGGAAAGAAGGUCAUAGGAAGCAAAUGGGUGUAUAAAAUAAAGUUCAAAUCUGAUGGCACCAUUGAUAGACAUAAGGCAAGAAUUAUGGUUUUAGGUAACAGACAACAAUUUUGCAUAGAUUACAAGGAAACCUUUGCCCCUGAUGCCAAAAUGACAACUGUAAGGACAAUCUUAGCUAUGGCUUCUAUGUAUAAUUGGAACACCACCCAAAUGGAUGUGACCAAUGCUAAUCUGCAUGGUGACUUGCUGGAAGAUGUUUAUAUGUCAAUCCCCCCAGGGUAUUUCUCUUUUGGGCACAUAAUUCAAGUUGAUUCAAGUGCUUCUGCUCCCUGCAAGACCUCUCAUUUGGUCUAUAAGCUUAAAAAAUCCUUAUAUGGAUUAAAGCAGGCACCUAGGCAAUGGUUUUCUAAACUUUCUGAGACUAUUAUAUCCUUUGGGUUCACACAGUCUAAGGAAGAUUAUAGUCUAUUUACUAGAUGUCUGAACAAUAACUUCACUGUUGUACUAGUCUAUGUAGAUGAUCUCUUGAUCACUGGUAACUCUGAAUAAGACAUUGAUGAGGUCAAGCUUCUUUUGUCAUCAAAGUUUCACAUGAAGAAUCUGGGGCCACUGAGAUAUUUCCUUGGUCUAGAAAUAGACAGAUCAGAUCAGGGAAUUUUUAUUUCUCAGAAGAAAUACACAACAGACUUGCUAACAGAGUACAACAUACUUAAUGUAAAGCCCUUGAAAUUGCCAAUGGAUACUCACUUAAAAAUGAGUGAUAGCAAAGGUGAUCCUUUGUCAAAUCCUACCCAUAUCAGCAGCUCCUUGGGAAGCUCAUAUACUUAACUGUCACCAGACCUGAUAUCUCUUUUACUGUCCAGAAUCUAAGCCAGUUCAUGCAUUCACCAACCACAGUGCAUAUGCAAGCUACAAAGAGGCUCCUUAGAUACCUAGCUGGUACUUGUUCUCAGGCAUAUUACUAGCUUCUGCUUCUGCUACCAUUCUCAUUGCAUAUUGUGACAGUGAUUGGGCAAGUUGUCCAAUUUCCAGGAGAUCCACCACAGGUUAUUGCAUACUCCUUGGUGUUUCCCCUAUAUCCUGGAAAUCUAAGAAGCAACCAGUGGUGGAUCGUUCAUCAUCUGAAGCUGAAUACAGGGAAAUGGCUCUUACAGCAUGUGAAGUAACUUGGAUUAAAGCUUUGCUAAAAGAUAUGAAUUUAUCUCACUUAGCUAAGACUGUGCUUAAAUGUGACAACAAGGCAGCCUUAGCAAUUGCAGCAAACCCUGUAGUGCAUGAAAGGACCAAACAUGUGGAAAUAGACUGUCACUAUGUUAGGGAUAUGGUCAAGGCUGGAGAUAUUGAACCACAAUAUGUUUCCUCAACAAAUCAGCUAGCAGAUGUCUUCACCAAAAUUCUGCCAGUUAAGCAGCACAAUGGUCUUCUACUCAAGUUGGGAGUCAAAUCUUCACCUGCCUCUCAGCUUGAGGGGGGGUAAUGAGGUUAAUAUAAGCUAAUAUACAGCUACAAGGGUAAUAUAUACAGUCAUAGCAGCUAGUUGUUAGGAUAUUUUGUGUGAUGUUUUCUAGGAUGAUUCUAGUGAAUGCUAGGCAAUGAUUAGCUGUAAGGAUUAGCUGCCACUCUUGUCUUCUAGCUAAUAUAUAAACUGUUGUAAUCAGUCCUUGAGGAAUAAUGAGAAAUGACCUAAUAUUCUCCCUCUUAUUCUGCCUCCUUUUCAAUUAUUCUCUGGUUACUGAGCUAGUCUCCUUGCAUCUCUUAACAUUAUUUCUGUCAUCACAAUCCAUUUGCACAAAGACAAAUUUAUUGGUUUCAAUUCACUUUUGAAACAGAACAUAUAUGACAAUAACUAUAAAUGCCUACUAAAGCCAUAUAAAAUCAUACCACGAGGUAGUUGAACUAUCUCAUGUACAUGCAUUAUGAUUGACAUUAAUUUGGUAUGUACCAUAUAUGGUCAUAUUGUCUGUAACUUUAUGAGUGGAACCUAUUAUGAAACAUACUGCCACUUUCAAUGUUGAAAUAAUUAUUGAUGUGUGAUUUGAAUAUGAUUACAUAUAUACUAUUAUACGCCUUAAUGAAGUUGGAUAUAUAGGAAUGUUGAAUAAGUUGGACAUGAAAUACUCAUACCUAAGAACUUGAAGUUCCUUUAAUCUUUGAAUGUUUACAAACCCGCUACAAAAAAUUUGGUGGCCUCCUACUUUUAAGUUUUCCACGUGGGAGACGAUUUUUUUUCGAAUCUCUAAAGUGUCAUCUUAUUUUUUUUAAUUUACAAUUAGUGGCCUAAUUGUCAUUAAAGGUGCUAACCAUCUCCUAAAUGGCUACUUUUUUAACUAAAGUAGAUAAAAUGACUAACCUACCCCUGAUUUAAUGCAUCCCCUCCCCUUUUUCAUUAAUGCCAACCACACUGCACUGUUCCUCGACAUUCAUCCAUCAAAAAUCCCAAAACCUUUCUUCUUCAUUCAACAAACAUCAAAUCACAACUGAAACUGUGUGUGUUUUAAUUAGGGUGAAACAAACACAACUGAUUGACGUUUUUUUUUUCGAAAUUAUUGAGAAAUUGGUAGAGAUUAAGGGUUUAGUGAAGAUCGAAAUUUGGCAAAUUUGGGGGAGCAAAAUUUAGGGGUUUUGGUGGGAUUUGAAGCAGAAUUCGGACAAUCGUGGACAUCCUAGGAGUUGCUAAGUACUAUACAGACCUUAAGCAAGGUAUGUCUUUAAAUAUUACAGUUUUUUGAUUUUAUUUAGACUUGCAGAAGUUAGGUGCUCUGUUUUUUGUUGUGUGUGUAUAUGUUGAUUAAAGAUGAUAACUUUAUGCUUGUAUGUGGGUGUUUGAUGUUUAAAUUUAUGCGUCUAGUUGUUAUGUUGCAGAAUGGAUCAAGUUAUGCUUAAGUUUGCUCAUAUGGGUAAUGUAAUUGAUGUUUUUGUUGAAGAUGUGGACAAAAUCAUGUGGAUUGAUUUGAUCAUUGAGUGUGAGGAAAGGUUUAGGAAAAACAACUAUGACUUCCCUAAAUUCCCUAAGUUUCACUACUGUUAUAAAAUGAAAGAUGUUAACAUUACUUCGGAUAGUGAUCUAAUGAGUAUGCUGGAUAGAUUGAAGGAUAGGGAAGAGAUUACUAUUUGGAUUGGGUUUGGAGAUAAACCUAGUGAUUGUGUUAUUGCUGCUAGAAAACUUGCUGAAACACUGAACAAAAACAACCCUGAUAGCCCACCUAAAAACUUGAAUAUUCUAGAAAAGGAACAGUCUCAGUAAAUGAGGGGUUAAAUGAUCUUGAUAAACGUUGGAUUGUAGGAAAUCUUGAAAGUGAUGAUUACAUCAUAUUAGGAUAGAAGCUGAGUUAGAUUACAAUGCACCAACUGAAGAGGAAGAUGAAUAUGAUCGAAAAGCAGAUUCAACAAAAGGGGAAAAGAAAUAUUGCACCUAAAUCUAAGAAAAGUAAGAAAUUACCUGUCAAGAGAAAGCUACAAGUAGGCACUAGUUCAGAAACCAUAACCCCACAAGAAACUUUCUCAAAUGCCCCUAUUGUUCCUCAAACAGAAAAUGUUGACAUUCCAACACCCUUUCCUAAUGUCUUACACAAAAUUCCAAAGACUACAGCUGCUAGGAAGCAAGGUUCUCAGAAUAAUAAUACUGUGGUUGAGGCAAUGGUGAUGACUAAGUUUGUGUUCAAUGAAGCAGUUAGGAAUAGGCAGGAGAGGGAAGAUCAGGUGGUAGAUGACAGUGCAAGGGUGGAAGAUCAGAUAUGGUGUGGUAAUGGAAACAAGUACUCUUUAUAAGAUGAGAGGGGUGGCUUUGAGGCAGAUAAAUGGUGGGCAUGAUACUUCUUUUGGGCAUUUGCCAAAAUACUGUGAAAUGGUUAAAGCAACCAACCCAGGAUCUAAGGCACACAGUGUUUGGAAGCAACUGAAUCCACCUGAUCCAGCCCUCACCUUUUCAACAAUAUUCAUUUCAUUCAAGGCUGCCAUAGAUGGUGUAAUUGCAGGAUGUAAGACUUUGGUGGAAGUUGAUGGAGCCCACUUGAAAGGCCAUUUUGGUGGGGUUCUUCUAUCUUUUGUGGCAUUAGAUGGAAACAAUGAAUUUUUUCCCUAUGCUUGGGCUGUAGUUCCCAAGGAAAAUGCUAACACAUGGAAGUUUUUCUUUUGGCACUUGAAAAAGAUCUUGUCAGAGUCUGGGAGGGGUAAUGACUGGUGUAUCAUUUCAUACAGACAAAAAGGAAUAGAUCCAACACUGACUAAGAUAUGGCCUGAGGUGGACAGGAGGUAUUGCUGCAAACACUUAGCAGCAAAUUGGAAAGGAGCAUUUCCUGGCCCUUUGAUGCAUUCACUCUUCUGGUUAGCAUGCAGUGCCACAUCACCUUUCACAUUUAAAAAUUUCAUGGAUAGGAUUAAGGCAGUAAAUCCUAAGGCUUGUGAAUGGUUGGCUGAUUUGGGGAACCAGUCAAGGUGGACAAGGCAUAAAUUUGAUCCCAAGAUAUGAAAUGAAGAAAACAAGACCAACUUUGUAGAGAGUUUCAAUUCAGUGGGUGUGGAUAGAUGCAGGCCUAUUUUAACACUAUUAGAAGGUAUAAGAAGAAUGUGUAUGGCGAGGCUAUCAACUAAAAGACAAAAAUGCAACAGUUGGAAUGAAGAUGAACCUUGCCCAAAAAUAGUAAAGAGAAUAAGGGUAUUGACCUUUUAAUCAAGAACUUGCAAAGCUUAUCAAUCAAGGGAGGGUGAAUAUGAAGUGAGGGAUGGGAAGUCUAUGCUUCCUGUAUCACUUAACAAAAAAAACUUGUAUUUGUGGUUUAUGGAAAAAACAUGGUUUGCCUUGCAAACAUGCAAUUAGAGCAAUAUUGGUUGCUGGAUUGAACCCUUACAACUUCUACAGCACAUGGUUCUCAGUCCAAACAUAUAAGCAAGCUUAUGCCAACUCUAUUCACUCUGUACCUGAUUUUGAGCACUGGCCAGAGAUUGACAUGCCCACAAUCCUACCACCACAAAUGACAAGAGCCAUUGGUAGGCCAUCUAGACAGAGGAAAAGGGCAACUGAUGAACCAGACAAAGGAAAAAAGUCAACAAAAGUGCAAUGUUCUAAGUGUCAGUCCUAUGGUCACAACAAGCAGACCUGUAAGGGUGGACUCACUACAGCUGAGAAAAGUGCAAAGGUUGGUAAGAAGAUUGCAAAGGCUAAGGACAAAGCUGCAGCAAGGAAAGCUACUAAACAAAGUGCAGAACAGAGCACUUCCACAUCACAGCCAGUUGGAAAGACAAGAUUCACAAGAAGCUCACUUAAGUUUGCUUCUCAACCUGAGCCCUCCAUUAAUAAUACUCAACAUUCUCAGAAAGCUUAUGAGGGUCCCAGCAGCCAACCUAUUACUAGGUCAAAGACAAAUGCAAAAGGAAAGAACAAAGUCUAAGUUGUCUUGUGACAUGUAGCUUACUGAACUAAGUCUAAGCUUAAGUAUUGUGGGUUUUUUUUUUUCGGGAGCCUAAGAUACAUAUAUGAUAUGUAUUUUGACUAAAUCCUUUAAUGUCCUGUAUUUUGACAUUGCAACAUGCUUUUGAUAUCAUAUUUUAUGCAAAAUAUCA